rnacentral:rRNA from 1 species
AGCGCAGGCGGGAGAACAAGUUGGAAGUGAAAUCCAUGGGCUCAACCCAUGAACUGCUUUCAAAAUUGUUUUUCUUGAGUAGUGCAGAGGUAGGCGGAAUUCCCGGUGUAGCGGUGGAAUGCGUAGAUAUCGGGAGGAACACCAGUGGCGAAGGCGGCCUACUGGGCACCAACUGACGCUGAGGCUCGAAAGUGUGGGUAGCAAACA